rnacentral:tRNA from 1 species
AUUAGAGUGGCGCAGUGGACGCAUGCUGGGCCCAUAACCCAGAGGUCCGUGGAUUGAAACCACGCUCUGCUAUAAUA